AGUGAACGCUGGCGGUAGGCCUAACACAUGCAAGUCGAACGGCAGCACAGUAAGAGCUUGCUCUUACGGGUGGCGAGUGGCGGACGGGUGAGGAAUACAUCGGAAUCUACUUUUUCGUGGGGGAUAACGUAGGGAAACUUACGCUAAUACCGCAUACGACCUACGGGUGAAAGCAGGGGAUCUUCGGACCUUGCGCGAUUGAAUGAGCCGAUGUCGGAUUAGCUAGUUGGCGGGGUAAAGGCCCACCAAGGCGACGAUCCGUAGCUGGUCUGAGAGGAUGACCAGCCACACUGGAACUGAGACACGGCCCAGACUCCUACGGGAGGCAGCAGUGGGGAAUAUUGGACAAUGGGCGCAAGCCUGAUCCAGCCAUACCGCGUGGGUGAAGAAGGCCUUCGGGUUGUAAAGCCCUUUUGUUGGGAAAGAAAAGCAGCAGGUUAAUACCCCGCUGUUAUGACGGUACCCAAAGAAUAAGCACCGGCUAACUUCGUG
rnacentral:rRNA from 1 species